GGGAAUAGCUCAGUUGGUAGAGCGCAACCUUGCCAAGGUUGAGGUCGCGAGUUCGAAUCUCGUUUCCC
rnacentral:tRNA from 3 species